CAAAGGCGUGCGCCACGAUGCCCGGCUGUUAUUUACUUCUUAAAUAUGUUAUAUUUAGUAAAAUACACUCAGGGUUGUUUAGUGGGAGCUGGAGAGGUAGCUCAGUGGUUAAGUACACUCAGAACUCAUGCUCAUGACUUCAGUGCUAUCACCAUGCGUAGCAGAGAGCAGAGAGCAUGAGAACAAAAAUUAAAAUUAAAAAAUUUCAUUUUCCAUGUAAAAGAAUAACAACGAACCCAUUAUAUAUGAAAAUACUUGAUUAGAACUUGAAAAGAAUUUUUAGAAUUGUACGCGAAUGGAUGUCUGCCUGUACAUGUGUAUGUGUACCAUGCGGAUCAGUGACGGCAGGAAGCAUCAGCUCGCUGAGAACUGGAGUUAGACAGUUGUGAGCUGAGAUGUGAAUUCUGGGAACCCAAGCAGGGUCCUCUGCAAAAAGCAGUUACAGCUUUUACCACUGAGCUGUCUCUCUGGCCCUUGCUUAUUUUUCUAUUUUAAUUACUUGUGGGGGACUGUUUCUAGGAAUCGAACCCACCUCAAAGUCAAGGUAAGAGUCUGUGCCAUCGAUAAAGUGGCACUGAAUUCAGAGAAUUCUUCCCCCGGUGCUGCGGGUUGCCUGGAACCGAGGCUGCCGGCCCCUCCUUAUCAGGGACGGUUGCUUAUCUCCUUCAUGAAGGAAACAUUUGCUGGAAGCCUUUCAAGAGGGACAGCUCCUUGAUGGCAGAGCUGGCCAGUGUCUUUGCAAGUUAUCUGAGAUCCCGGAGGAAAGGGGCCUUUGGCAAGUGGGCAGUGUGCCUCGCCUGGCAGGAGCUCAGUCUACCUUCCCUCCCUACCGAGCUGAGGGUACCAUACUUGCAGGUGAACCCAUGUGGCUACUGAUGCAGAGAGCGGAACAGUUUUGUUCCGUCAUCACCACGGCAGAGUGUCGGCCACUGUGAAGAGCAAAUGAGUCCGCAGAUGUGGCUUCUAUGAAGAGGGUGGUACCCAAGUGGAAGCACGUCAUGCAACCAAUAUGGAACGGUGAGGACGAACGGAGUGGCCCUGCCUUGCAGCUCAGUGGUUCUGAGGUGAUACAGCUCAUCAUGAGGGAUGCAAGAGUGACGGGAGUGAAUGUCUGGCCUACAUCACUUCAUAGUUGCCGGAAGUGGGAGAGAGAAGACAGGAAGGAGGCAAGGCUACAAAGUCUCAAGGCCCUCCUCUAGUGGCCCAUUUCUUCAGAUGAGGCUCCACCUCCUGAAGGUCCCACAACUCCCCAAACAGGACCCCCAGCAGGGAACCAGUGUUCAAACAAACCUGUGGGGGAUAUACCAUAUUUUGUUCUGUUUUGAAUUUAGUGCUGGGCUCUCCUUCACACACCUCCUUCACACACGCCAUGCUGGCCACAACCCCUGCCCUCUCCAGGCUUUGCUUGGUCACUAAUCUAUAUGUAAAUGCAUAGGGCACCUCUACCUUUUGUCUGUCACAACUGGGCUACUGUCAACAUAGGUGUUUACAUAAUUUUUCAAAUAUCUG